AUGACACUGGUUUCCUCUCCGGGUACUUUUUGGUUCCAAAAAAAGGACAAUUCCUUUCACCCAAUAUUAGACCUCCGGGAUUUCAACCACUUUGUUGCCUACCAUCAUUUCCGUAUGGUUACCCUGGAACAGGUUAUUCCCCUUGUUCAGAAAGGAGACUGGUUUGCUUUAAUAGACUUAAACAACACCUAUUUUCAUAUUUCCGUAAGGCCGGACCACCGCACGUUUCUGUGUUUCUCCCUGGGAAAAACCACUUACCAAUACAAUGCGUCCUGGUCCCCACGAGAAGCCUUGCUACAUAUCAACAACCUGGAACUUGCAAUUUUCAAAGCCUUUCGAGCCUUUCUCCCCAUCCUUGCAGGCAACGCAGUUCAAGUCACGACUGACAACACAACUGUGUUGCAUUACACUCUCUCUCUUAUACUUGACAGUACAGUUUUGGGAGUGGUGCCUUCAACACCACAUAUUCCCUUCAGCAGUCCACAUAUCGACCAGGGACAAUGCCUGGGCAGACAGCCUCAGUCGGACUACCAGUCAGAUCCACGAGUGUUCCCGGGACCAGGAAAUCUUCCUCCAAAUAUGCGACAGAUGGGGGACCCCUCAAGUGGAUGCUUUUUCUGCAAGACACAACACCAAAUGCAGUGCUUACUGGUCAAGGGCAGGCAAGGGACCGGGAUCACUGGGAGAUGCCCUCAUGGUCCCAUGGAACUCAGGUCUGCUGUACAUGUUUCCACCAAUUCCACUUUGUGUCAUCGUGAUACUCAGACAAGACAAUGUGGAUGCCAUUGUCAUAGCUCCCUACUGGCCGAGGCAGCCAUGGUUCACAAUGAUCAGGAACAUGGCGUUGGAUAUUGUGAGACUACCUCAAAUCCCGCAUCUUCUCAUGAUGCACGACGGGAGAACUUACCUCCCAGAUCUGACCUUCCUAUACCUAACCGCCUGGAGGGUAUUACCCCAAUAGAGACUAUCCUGUCUCAUUCCUGGAAACCGUCUACUAAGUCCUUAUAUGCUCGAAAAUGGAUAUCGUUUCAGAAAUUUACAGGCACCCACAAUCUAUUCCAACGUCUAUGA
rnacentral:lncRNA from 1 species